UGGGGAAUCUUCCGCAAUGGACGAAAGUCUGACGGAGCAACGCCGCGUGAGUGAUGACGGCCUUCGGGUUGUAAAGCUCUGUUAAUCGGGACGAAUGGUUCUUGUGCGAAUAGUGCGAGGAUUUGACGGUACCGGAAUAGAAAGCCACGGCUAACUACGUGCCAGCAGCCGCGGUAAUACGUAGGUGGCAAGCGUUGUCCGGAAUUAUUGGGCGUAAAGCGCGCGCAGGCGGAUUGGUCAGUCUGUCUUAAAAGUUCGGGGCUUAACCCCGUGAUGGGAUGGAAACUGCCAAUCUAGAGUAUCGGAGAGGAAAGUGGAAUUCCUAGUGUAGCGGUGAAAUGCGUAGAUAUUAGGAAGAACACCAGUGGCGAAGGCGACUUUCUGGACGAAAACUGACGCUGAGGCGCGAAAGCCAGGGGAGCGAACGGGAUUAGAUACCCCGGUAGUCCUGGCCGUAAACGAUGGGUACUAGGUGUAGGAGGUAUCGACCCCUUCUGUGCCGGAGUUAACGCAAUAAGUACCCCGCCUGGGGAGUACGACUGCAAGGUUG
rnacentral:rRNA from 1 species